rfam:Triticum urartu cultivar G1812 contig912761, whole genome shotgun sequence.
AAUGUACUCCCCUGUCUGGAAAUACUUGUUGGAGAAAUGGAUAAAAAUGGAUUCUAAAACUAAAAUACGUCUAGACACAUUCAUUUUCCCGACAAGUAUUUCCGGAUGGAGGGAGUAUAUU